rnacentral:rRNA from 1 species
ACUGGCGGCAGGCUUAACACAUGCAAGUCGAGCGGUAGCAGAUCUAGCUUGCUAGAUGCUGACGAGCGGCGGACGGGUGAGUAACGCGUAGGAACCUGCCCAGUAGUGGGGGAUAGCCCGGGGAAACUCGGAUUAAUACCGCAUACGCUCUACGGGGAAAGAGGGGGCUUCGGCUCUCGCUAUUGGAUGGGCCUGCGUGAGAUUAGCUAGUUGGUGAGGUAAUGGCACACCAAGGCGACGAUCUCUAGCUGGUCUGAGAGGAUGAUCAGCCACACUGGGACUGAGACACGGCCCAGACUCCUACGGGAGGCAGCAGUGGGGAAUAUUGCACAAUGGGCGCAAGCCUGAUGCAGCCAUGCCGCGUGUAUGAAGAAGGCUUUCGGGUUGUAAAGCACUUUCAGUGGGGAGGAAGGCCUCGUAGUUAAUAGCUGCGAGGAUUGACGUUACCCACAGAAGAAGCACCGGCUAACUCCGUG